GGUUGGGUUUAAAGCUAUGGUUGGGGUUAAGGUUGGAGGUUAGGGUUAGGGUCAGAGUUAGGGUUGGCUUUGGUUUGGUUUUGAGGUUGGCUUUAGAGUUAGGGUUCAGGAUAGGAUUGGAGUUAAGGUUUUGUUAGGGGCUCCUUGGGAAACUGCUUUACCCAGCAUCUGUCUCUGUACCCACCACCUUUUGGGGCAGAAGGAAGGGGUCCCUGUGGGACCAGGCACCCUUUGUAUGGCUGUGGGGCGUAGGCAGGAGUUUCCCUGAUGGAUGUAGUAUAUAACCAUUUCCUUAGAUCAGGUCUGUUAGCUCCAGACUGAGUGGCUGCUGGAGAGCUGUGUGUAGAGAGAGCCUGAAACUGCUACAGAAUGAAACCGAUUUAGGUGUGGGUGACACAAUUAUUAUGUAAAAUUAUAGUUUGUGCUGUCGUCAGAACAGCUAACUGAAGGUUACAGUGGGAGCUGUAUUACCAAGGGCUCAAUCAUUGUAAUUACCUCCCAUUAGAUCACCUUCUUUACAACUGAGACGUGGCAGAAGGGGGAAGCUACAGGAAGAAAUUCCUGUCCUCACGCUCCAUUCUCCUCUGGACACGUCCUGCAGACAGCAAUUAGAGGUCAUUAGCUAGUUGGACAUAGGUGGGGAUCAUUUUUCCCACCUCAGAGUGGUCCAGCCCAGCUCUGUAGGGAUUUUCUGCCAUCUGUGCCUUUUUGCUAUGCUGCCCCAUAACAAGAAACACAGACAUGGGCACAUUGGGGUCUGCAUGUCGGGGGACACCACUGCCUCAUGCAUGUACCGGAUUCACAUUGGCAGCAGUUGGGUUUGUCCUUCAGAUGCUCAGGGAAGCUCUGAGUUUGGAUGUCAGUGAGUGCAUGAGCCAGUCGUGCUGUUACCCUCGAGCAGGACUUGCUCUGAUUUGUGUUUUCAGCAUUAUAAGCAAAAGUGACAGUUCAUGCAAACAGCCUGGAAUCCUGUCUGGAGAGACUCAGGUUGGAUUUUUCCUGGUUUAAUGAGGGCAUUAAGCACAGCCAAGCUUCGCUGUCAGCCCUGAGCAGCAAUCCCAGCAUGGAACAGCAGCACUGCAUGCUCCUCCUCAAGACCACAUCCCAGGAUUUCAGUAGAGAUCACCUGUGCCCAUCUCUGGGCUGGAUGUGAUGAUAAGGGUGACAAGAGAUACCGUGUAAGGCCAUUAGACUAACAAGGAAAUCCACUGCUUGAUGACAAGGAGACACAAUGGGAACAUAGAUUUGUAUUGAGGUGACAGAGCCACAGGCUGGAGGCUGAGGGUUCCUGACCUCUUGGGGCUGGGCAUCAAUGUGAGGGAAUCCCACAGCCAAUCCCAUGGCUGUUACUCCAUGCUUUGGAGCAGCACCAGAUCCCCACCCGAAAACAUUGGGUCCAACCUGCUGUCUGUGUGGGAGACCUCCAGAUUGGUGCUUAAUUACGGCCAUCUGCUGCUCCAGGCUUCAAAUGCAUCUCAGUGGGCUCAGUCUCUGCUCAAAUCAGCCCCAUUGAGUUUUCCUCUAUGCUGGUUUUCUUGCCCAGGGCUCCCAUUCUCAUCUGAUACAGGGCAGUUCUUUGUUCCCCAGCUCACAGCACUCAUCUGUAUUCAGCAUUAUGAUUUAAAAGCACUUCCUCUUUAUAAUUUUGCUUAUCAUCUCCUAAUAACCUCAAUGCUGUGGGGUUGUGGGUGGGUUCUGGGAGACCGCAGCAUUUCCAGCCUUUAUUGGAGGACACAGCAUUGAUCCUUUUCCAUUAGAGUGUUGAGGAAACACCAUCAAAUGGGUGAACUCUAAUCAACCCAACCAAACACAAUCCAACCCAACCCAAUACAGCACAGCUCAACCCAACCCAAGCCAGAACCUUCAGUGGUCCAAGCCCACCUUCCAUUAGGAGGUUAAAAAGGGAAAUUCUUACACCUGUGAUUGAACAAAUCCCUCUUAAGAGCUAAGGCUGAGGUGUCUCCUCCAGCUCAACCCCAAAUUGGGUUUCAGGAGAUAUUAUGGUGUUGGGAACUUAAAUAGCAUGAAUGGAAAUGGCUGCCUUCAUUAUGCUCUUCUCUUUCAAAAUCCAGGCAAGGGAAAACCUGCGUGAGAACCAUGUCCCCAUGCUGUGUCUUCCCACCACCCCAUCCAAGCACCUCCAAUUGCAGCCCAUCUCUUACAGGGAUUAAGACCUAUUUCUGCACCACUCUAUCCCAUUAAGGGCAUUACAGCAGCCCCAGAACCUUCCAUGUGACUCCUUCUAAAAGAGAGGCCAUGCUAAGCCUCACAUAAACGGCCCUGCUUGGAGGGCUGGGUGGAGACUGGGGUUUAUGCAACAUUAUUUGCCCAACGCUGCUGUUAAUUCGCUGCCUGCAGGGCAAUAAUCUGGGCAUGGGGCGGGCAGCUGCACCUUGGACCUUGUUCCUACAGCAGACAAAGCCCAAAGAUGGGGAGGACCCAGCCUUGUCCUAAGGGAUGUUGCUGCACGUUUCUGCAGCAUUGGAGCCACGGGGGCUGCAGGGAAGGCAGCUUUGAUCCAGCCCUGCAGGCUGCUGUCUGACUGGGUUGUGCCCAGCUGUGCAGACACAGAGGGAAAGAGGUUGUGUGUGUGUGUGUGUGUGCAUGCAUGUCUGCACACAUAUGCAUGCAUCUCUGCGUGCAUGUGAUCACACAUGCAUGCAUUAGCUGAUGCACGCUGUGCGUGCUCCCGUGCUCACACAUCACGCUGGCCGAGGCACGAGCAGCCAGGCCUUGCUCCCAAAUGGUUGCCAGGGUGACAGAGUGCUGCUCCUGCACUGCCAGGAUGCUCCAGCACCAGCAUCAGGGUCGCUGCAGUGUUGCGCUGGGGCCGGAGCAGGGCGCUCUUGGGCUGAUUGCUCCCAGCGGGCAGUGAGCUGUGCUGCAAGAUGACAGGGGUGCACUCGGGUGCGUGCUGUGGGAUGAGAUGCUGAAAGCUUCAGGUGACGCAUGCAUAUGCAAAUACAUGUUCCAUGAAGCACCGUGCAUGCACACGCGUGUGCCAGGAGGUGCUGUGCAUGCAAGUAUGUUUGCCAAAGUGCACCGUUUCUGCACACGCGUGUGCCAGAGGACACCACCAUGCACUCCGUGGGACUCAGAGCCAGCACAGGGGUUCCUCAUCCAGUCCCUAUGCAGCGCAGGGCCGGAUCCUGCCCCGUGACUCACAGCCUGGUUAAUCAUUCACCUCCUCGCCUGCAGCCUCAGCCAGGGUCACUCCUCCUGCUCCUGUGGCCGUGGGGAUCGUGGCUCACUGUCUGCCCACAAGCAGCUCUGAGGGUGACUGUGGCCGGAGCCAGGGGGCUCCCAGCCCACAGCCCACGUGAGCAUCACCCAGGGCAGUGGGGAGACACAUCCAGGCCAGGCUGGAGGGUGCCCAGGUUAGCAUGACUGAGGUGGAGCCGGUGCUGGACUUCGCAUCCUCAGGGAGGACUGGACGUCGCAAUGCCCUACCUGACAUCCUGGGCUCACCUGCAGGCGUCAGCCCCUCCGACCUGCCCCUCAAGCUGGCUGAGAUGUCCCUGAGUGCAGGCAGCUCCCAGGAGAUGCAGUCACCUUCUGCAGAAGUUCCCCCACCGCAGCCCCAAAGCCCGGAGCUGAAGGACACAUCCUAACCCUGCAGGCAGACCGAGCAGUGGGGUGAGGACACUGUGGAGCAUCCGCAUCGCUGCCCUUGUGCCAUGCAGCGAGAGCAUCGCCUGCAGGAGAGGAGCCACGCAGGGACCUGUGGGGACAAAGGGACACUUCAUUCCCACGCAGGGCAAGGAUGGGGAUGUUCACCCCACAGGACACUUUUCUUCCAGAAGCAAGCGGCCAAUGGGGCUAUGCCAUGAGCAGCCCAGGGGGUCUGAGUGUUGUUCACUGUGAUGUUUUGGGUACCACGUCCGUGUCCUGUCCUUUUUCCAGUGGGUGAUCCAAGAUCCUUUCUAUUUUCCCCUCACUGCCAGCACCUCACCAAGGGUUCACUCCAUUGGGUGAGCACCCCUGAAUUCUCCUUGCAUCAGGGGAACGGGGAGCUCAGCUGGGAUCAUAUUGUGAAGCCACCCUUGGGGAUGGUGACAUCUCUGCCACUCACAGCUCUGCUGCCCACUGGGAUGGGACUUACUGCUGGAGACAAACAUGGUUCAGCUCCAGAACAUGGCUGGGGUGAGCUCGUGGGGGGCUGGAAUGGGGCACAGUGCUCAUAUCUGUCCCUGUUCCUUGGUGGUGAUGGAGUGAUCAUCCAUAGCUGUCAAUGUGGGACCAGCAAAUGGAGUCCUAAUGGGAGAGCUGUGUGGGAUGGGUGGAACUGGGAGCCACAGUGUGUGUCCAUGGGCAUGGACAUGUGUGGGAGUGGGUGCUGCUGGGGGUGGGUGCUAUGUGCAUGGGUGCUCAUGUGCAAAGGUGUCCGUGCACAUGGGUGUCUGUGUGUGAGUGACAGUGUGCAAUAAUGCCCAUGUGCAUGGGUGUCUGUGUGUGUGUGUGUGUGUGUGUGUGCCUCUGUGUGUCGGUGUCUGUGUUUGUGGGGGUCCAUGUGUGUGUGUGCUGCUGUGGGUGGGUGUCUGUGUGUGUGCACCAUUGACAUGCAUGGGUGCUCAUGCACAUGGGUGUCUGUUUGCAUGGAUAGCAGUGUGCAAUAACAUCCACGUGUAUGGGCGUCCAUGCAUAUAGGUGUCCGUGUGUGCAGCUGCAUGGAUGCUCAAGUGUGUGGAUGUGGAUGUCCACAUCUAUGAGUCUUCAUGCCCACAGGGGUCACUGUGUGAUAAUGUCCAUGGGGUGUGGAUGACCACAUGCACUGGUAAAUGGGUGUCCAUGUGCAUGGAUGCCAGUGUGCAAUAAUACCCAUGUGCAUGGUUGUCCAUGUAUGUGAGUGUUAUGUGUGUGGAUGUCCCUGUGCAUGGGUUCUCCCUGGAUGGCUGUCCCUGUGCACAUAUGUUUGUGUGUGUGUUCACGUGUGUGCACAUCCAUGUCUCAUGGCCCCGCUGCACCAGGGUGAUGCUGGGAGCCCCAUGGCCAUGCACAUUUGGGCCUCUGAUGCCCAAGGAUGGCACUGGGAGGAGCAGAGACAGGUAACCCCUCCAGGCUAUUGCCUGUCCCCUCUCUGUGGCACCUGGAGGGUGCAUUCAAGGAGCACUGUGCACUCUGGGAGGCAGCUGAGUGACUCCCAGGGCCAUGGUUGGAUAAUAAACUGUGUGUGUUUCCGUGUGA